rnacentral:tRNA from 3 species
GCUGGUGUGGCUCAACGGCAGAGCAACUGAUUUGUAAUCGGCUUUGUUGCAGGUUCAACUCCUGUCACCAGCU